GUCCAUUUGGCGCAAUGGUAGCGCAUUCCUCUCCUAUGCGUCAGAAGGAAAGGUUGCGGGUUCGAGUCCCGUAAUGGAUG
rnacentral:tRNA from 3 species